GCUAGUUCAAAGAAAAAUAUUAUUUUAGUUAAAAAAUAGUAUAAAAUAUGUAGGAAUGAUUUUCAGUAUCAGACUUGGGUGGCAUGCACUUCGCAGUAUAUGUGUUUGCUGCUCUAGGUUAUCCACUUAUCCUCCAUGUUUUCAUUAAAUUACAAUCAUAGCACCCACUGCAAUAGUUUGGAUUGUUUGAUGGAGUAUUUUAUCAAGAAGAGUGGU
rnacentral:misc_RNA from 1 species